rnacentral:lncRNA from 1 species
AACAUAAUUAAAUAAUUCCACGGCGAUCAAUUUUUAUUUGUCACCAACUUGAAUAUAUAUUUUGAAUAUGUGUAUUGGAUGCUCCCCUUGUCUUAUAAUUCACUGAUCCGAAUAGACAGUCACACCUGGCAAGGUGUGCCCGAGAGGCGUGGUUAAAUACCGAAGUGCAAAUAACAAUUUACCUUUCAUCAAGCCAUCUACGAGUAUUGCUACAGAACCGUGAAUACACACAUCGUAUCAACCAAGUCAUAGCAGAGAUAGUAAAAGGUCAAUAAGAGUACACCAACAUAUUGUCUUUACAGAUUAUUGUACUUUACUUUGUUCACCUUAUCAGUCCGAAAAUACAUUAAUUAAAAAUCAAUUUAUAACUUUUUGUGUUGUCUACAAAAAUAAUUCGAAUAUAUACGUUUAACAUAGAAAAUUUAUCUCAUGAAUAUGUACAAUUGAACGUAUGUGCGUUUUAUCUUCUUAUUAUCGGAUGGUUAUUAGAUAAAGCAUAAGUCAUCGGCGCGCUUACGAUUACGUUAAAAUAUGAUUAAAAACAAAGACUUUUAAUGAUUGUUUUUUAAAUCCCAGCAUGCAAAAACCAGGAGAAAACGUCACGACCUACAGGAAGUAGUUAAUAUUUUUUCAUUAAAUAUUGAAUUUCUCCUUUAUUACUGCACAUAUAGCGAUAAAACUUUGUGAAUAUAUAUAUUAUGUCAUAAUGAACAUAUUUAAACCAUAAGUAAAAAAUCGUGAAUUUUCCCUUUAAUAUAAAUUUAAUACUAAACAGAAAAAAAAUUAACUUGUGGCCACGAUGUUAUGCCACAAACAUACGGUGUCAAUAUUUUUUUAGUACACCAGAUCUGGAUUUCGACAAUAAAUGUCUCUUCAAUGAUGUUAGGGAUCGAAACGGUAUUUGGAAGGCC